AGUGAACGCUGGCGGUAGGCCUAACACAUGCAAGUCGAACGGCAGCACAGGAGAGCUUGCUCUCUGGGUGGCGAGUGGCGGACGGGUGAGGAAUACAUCGGAAUCUACUUUUUCGUGGGGGAUGACGUAGGGAAACUUACGCUAAUACCGCAUAAGACCUACGGGUGAAAGCAGGGGAUCUUCGGACCUUGCGCGAUUGAAUGAGCCGAUGUCGGAUUAGCUAGUUGGCGGGGUAAAGGCCCACCAAGGCGACGAUCCGUAGCUGGUCUGAGAGGAUGAUCAGCCACACUGGAACUGAGACACGGUCCAGACUCCUACGGGAGGCAGCAGUGGGGAAUAUUGGACAAUGGGCGCAAGCCUGAUCCAGCCAUACCGCGUGGGUGAAGAAGGCCUUCGGGUUGUAAAGCCCUUUUGUUGGGAAAGAAAUCCAGCUGGUUAAUACCCGGUUGGGAUGACGGUACCCAAAGAACAAGCACCGGCUAACUUCGUGCCAGCCGCCGCGGUAA
rnacentral:rRNA from 1 species